AGCGAACGCUGGCGGCAGGCCUAACACAUGCAAGUCGAACGAACUCUUCGGAGUUAGUGGCGGACGGGUGAGUAACACGUGGGAACGUUCCUUUUGGUUCGGAAUAACUCAGGGAAACUUGUGCUAAUACCGAAUGUGCCCUGCGGGGGAAAGAUUUGUCGACAUUAGGGCGGCCCGCGUCUGAUUAGCUAGUUGGGGAGGUAACAGCUCACCAAGGAGUCGAUCAGUAGCUGGUCUGAGAGGCUGACCAGCCACACUGGGACUGAGACACGGCCCAGACUCCUACGGGAGGCAGCAGUGGGGAAUCUUGCGCAAUGGGCGAAAGCCUGACGCAGCCAUGCCGCGUGAAUGAUGAAGGUCCUAGGAUUGUAAAAUUCUUUCACCGGGGACGAUAAUGACGGUACCCGGAGAAGAAGCCCCGGCUAACUUCGUG
rnacentral:rRNA from 1 species